rnacentral:rRNA from 1 species
AGAGUUUGAUUCUGGCUCAGAACGAACGCUGGCGGCAGGCCUCAUACAUGCAAGUCGAGCGGAAAGGCCCCUUCGGGGGUACUCGAGCGGCGAACGGGUGAGUAACAGGUGGGUAAUCUACCUUUCGGAGGGGGAUAACGGCUGGAAACGGCCGCUAAUACCCCGUACGGUUGCGAUGCUCUCGGGCAACGCAAAGAAAGGGGCCCUUAAAGCCUCGCCGAAAGAUGAGCCCGCCCCCCAUUAGCUAGUUGGUGAGGUAAUGGCCCACCAAGGCUAUGAUGGGUAGCCGAGCUGAGAGGUUGAUCGGCCACACUGGAACUGAGACACGGUCCAGACACCUACGGGUGGCAGCAGUAGGGAAUAUUGCGCAAUGGGCGAAAGCCUGACGCAGCCAUGCCGCGUGGAUGAUGAAGGCCUUCGGGUCGUAAAGUCCUUUUCUGAGGGAAGAACUAUCGGGGGAGGAAAUGCCUUCGGUUUGACGGUACCUCAGGAAUAAGCAACGGCUAACUCCGUGCCAGCAGCCGCGGUAAUACGGAGGUUGCAAGCGUUGUUCGGAAUGACUGGGCGUAAAGGGAGCGCAGGCGGCCAGGUCAGUCGGAAGUGAAAGCCCGGGGCUUAACCCCGGAAUUGCUUUGGAUACUGCCUGGCUUGAGUAUGCGAUAGGAAAGUGGAAUUCCAGGUGUAGCGGUGAAAUGCGUAGAUAUCUGGAGGAACACCGGUGGCGAAAGCGGCUUUCUGGCGCAUAACUGACGCUGAGGCUCGAAAGCGUGGGGAGCGAACGAGAUUAGAUACCCCGGUAGUCCACGCCGUAAACGUUGUGCACUAGGUGUGGGAGGGAUCGACUCCUUCCGUGCCGAAGCUAACGCAUUAAGUGCACCGCCUGGGGAGUACGGUCGCAAGACUGAAACUCAAAGGAAUUGACGGGGGCCCGCACAAGCGGUGGAGCAUGUGGUUUAAUUCGAGGCAACGCGAAGAACCUUACCCAGGCUUGACAUCCCGAGACCGCCACGGAAACAUGGUUUCUCCUUCGGGGGCUCGGUGACAGGUGUUGCAUGCCUGUCGUCAGCUCGUGUCGUGAGAUGUUGGGUUAAGUCCCGCAACGAGCGCAACCCUCGUCCUUAGUUACCAGCGGUUCGGCCGGGCACUCUAGGGAGACUGCCGGUGAUAAACCGGAGGAAGGUGGGGGGGACGUCAAGUCAUCACGGCCCUUAUGCCUGGGGGGACACACGUGCUACAAUGGCCGGUACAAAGAGAUGCAACGUCGCGAGGCAGAGCUAAUCUCAAAAAGCCGGUCUCAGUUCGGAUUGGAGUCUGCAACUCGACUCCACGAAGUCGGAAUCGCUAGUAAUCGCGUAUCAGCCAUGACGCGG